ACCAAACCCAUUGUAUUAACAUACGGAUAGGCCCAAGAGAGAAUUAAAAGCCCAUAAGGUGUAGGGUUCCGACUUCCGAUGUCUCUGGAUAUAAAUUGGUAGAGAAGAGUAACGAGUCGUCUUGUUUGCUGCUAAAAUCGGCUGAUCUCUAGUUCUCUACCCAAGUUAAUCCAAGAUGCGAGCUAAGUGGAAGAAGAAGCGGAUGAGGAGACUGAAGAGGAAGCGCCGAAAGAUGAGACAGAGAUCCAAGUAGACUGUUUGCUGGGUCAAUGAGAUCACUUCUGCUUGUGAGUCUACAUCUUCAUCACCACAAUGCUGAAUGAUUCAAGGGCACUGAAAGCAGAGUUUUCUUGUACUGCUAGCAACUAAGUCAGCUUUAGGAUUUAUGUUUGGGGAAUGCUGUUAGUUUGGUUAUUUUAUGAAGACCUUCAAAAAACUUUGUUGUCAGAAAUGAUCUUUUUUAUUUUGCAUAAUCGGGUUUUAUGAAUGAUAUAACAUUGCAAUUUAUUUUUAAUUGUGUC